ensembl:rRNA 5S_rRNA 5S ribosomal RNA
CUAUACCAUUCUGAACAUUCCCAAUCUCAUCUGACUUCAGAAGCUAUGCAGUAGAGCCUGAUUAGUACUUUGGAGGAAGACCCUCAAUUAAUGUCAGAUCUCUAUAGA